AGCAGCAGCCACGGUAAUACGAAGGGGGCUAGCGUUGCUCGGAAUCACUGGGCGUAAAGGGUGCGUAGGCGGGUCUUUAAGUCAGGGGUGAAAUCCUGGAGCUCAACUCCAGAACUGCCUUUGAUACUGAAGAUCUUGAGUUCGGGAGAGGUGAGUGGAACUGCGAGUGUAGAGGUGAAAUUCGUAGAUAUUCGCAAGAACACCAGUGGCGAAGGCGGCUCACUGGCCCGAUACUGACGCUGAGGCACGAAAGCGUGGGGAGCAAACAGGAUUAGAUACCCCCGUAGUCCCUGUCUCUUAUAC
rnacentral:rRNA from 1 species